rfam:Magnaporthe oryzae 70-15 chromosome 4, whole genome shotgun sequence.
GCGGGUUUAGCUCAGUUGGGAGAGCGUCAGACUGAAGUAGCACUUCAUUCGCAUUAUCUGAAGGUCAUGUGUUCGAUCCACAUAAACCGCA